ACAACCACGCUGACGACGUCCCAGGCCUCGCCCCACCCUGCCUGGGAAGCCUGAGCUGCACCGCAGAGCCCGGACACAGCGUGCGCGGCGUGUGCGCAUGUGUGCAUGCGUGAGCGUGCGUGUGCGUGCGGAUUCGCCGCGGGCCGUCAGUCCCAGUGGCCGCGGGAGACGGGCAGUGUCUGGAGGAGGGGGGAGGAGGCCAUUUUUGUCUUCUAUCGCUUCGAAUCAAGACUCUCCUUUUAAAAAUGGGUUAAAGAACAAAGUGAGUGAAAACCUAAGCGCCCCCUCUCCCUCCGCAGGAAGCUCUAGUUCCGGGGCUGCGCGGGCCCCGUUUCUCCGGGAGUUAGCGCACGGGAGUUGGGCGCCCACCGCGUCCGCUGCUGAGGUCGGGCGGCCGCAUCCCGGGGCACCUGGGCCUCUUCGUGGCUCCUGGACUCCACGGCGCAGGCCUCCUCUCGCGCUCGGCUCGGCAAUCCCGGGCCCCUGACCUCUGUAGCCGAGCCGCCCACCUCUUCCUCCCCCGAGGGCGUAAACCCGAAUCCACUCUGGCCUCGGGCCUCGGCCUGCGCCUUGGCCGGCGGACCGCCCGGCUCUGAGGAUUCUAGGCGAUGGGGAGGCGGGCUGAGCUCCCCUCCUGACGGGAUUCCGCACGCAUCUGUUUCGGGACCCUGGCCGUGUCCCGGCCUUAACCUCCUCAGCGUUACAACGGGGAUAAUAAACCUUGCUGGCUCGCCCGCCAGGUGGUGGCUGGAUAAUAUAUUCCGGUAGAGGACUGAGGAGGGUUGGCAAAGACUGUCGACUAUUCCGCUGGGCGGCCGUUCACAGCCCUCCCAGAUUGGAGGGUGGAGGGCGGGGGUAGUUCAGCCCCCGGCCUGCGACCUCCCGGAAGAAAGGGGCUCGUGGUCGUUUAGGUUGCGCAGAGCCCGCCACGCUUCCGGCUGGGGCACGUGGCGCCCUUGGGGACCUUCGGCCUCACUGUCCCGAGCUCGGCCUGGGGCGGAGCAGCCUUCUCGGCACCCUGUACUCGGCUCUGCGCGGACCCCACCGUCUCGCCGAGGGCAGCAGCCGUAGGAGACUCCGGAACUUCUGGCCAGAGCAGGAGCUGAGCGUCCCCGACUGAACUCAGGCAGAAAGGGAAGCCCUGUAGGUUGUCCUGAUCUGCGGACGCAGUGGAGGCGACCCUGAGUCUUGCAGGAAAACCAACCCCAGAGAAGACAUUGGCCUCUGAUGGUCAGACCUCCGCGGAGAGUAUCAAAGAAGGAAGUCCCACUAACUCUUCACAAAACUAUAAAACCAUCUAAAAAAAGUAAGCGUCCGUAUGGAUUGAGGGAAACAGUUGAGAAUUAAAAGGCAUCACGACACAGGGCUAUGAUUAUAUGUGCCAUCAUCCAGGAGACCACAACUACUUGCUUAUGAGGACUGUGCUUAUAAGAUUGCUUUCCUAGUCAGCUCUACCACUUCUUACUUUCAGUGUGCCUGCAUCUACAAGUGGUCAUUUCCAGGAAGCAAGACUUACCGCUCAUAGCUAAAGAAGACCAGUUUCUGGAGAAACAAGGUUCACAGGUAAAUACCUAAUAUUGAGGCUGCUGGAAGUCUGAUUACCAGGUACAUGGGUCGAGACUGUAUUCCUAUUUGGGGAAGGUCAAGUCAGAGUAUGGACUCAUGGUACUUUAGAUGCCUCGUGAAGUGAUGUGUUCCUGUAUUGGAGAUGUUCCUAAAAAGGCCAGAGCUCCAGGUAGCACAAGCAUCAUAUGGGAGGCUCUCAAGCUGGGCUGCAAAUUAGGGCAGAAGGA